CUUGUAAUUGCCAUUAGGAUGGGCGUGAAAACUUGGUUUUCAAAUGCCUUCACUUCGUUAAAAAAAAUUGCUUCUUUUUCGUUAAGAUAGAUUAUUUCCAAGGUUUCGAAAUGGAAUUUCAUAGUUCCACAGUAGUUUUUGUACUUUAUUUUUUUCGGUUGGCAACGCGCUGCGGACAAAGGACAACGACUGCAGAGAGAUGCGAAUGAGCAGCACAAGGCAGAGCUGGAAAAAUGAAUGCGAAGGGUGUUGGGAUUGAGAGAGGUGAAGAGAGCGGCUGCUCUCUUUCUCUCUGACUCGGUGUGGGGCCAACUUGAAACGCCGCGAGAUUGAAAUGCAGCGAAACGAACGGCAAGCACAAGACGUGGCCAGGAAAAUAGAGAUAAACAAAAUAUAAAAAGGAUAGUACAGGCAGGGACGGUUGGAAAGAGGUGGCGAGAGCGCGCGGGAGAGCGCGAGAGAACCGUUCCAUUGUCAAACGUACACAAAACAGAACACAACGGCCUCGCUCUCACCCCUCUCUCACUCCCGCAGGAAGGGUGCGCGCCAGGCGAAAAAUCAAUGAAAUAUAUGUGGAAAAGUUGCCAAAA